rnacentral:rRNA from 1 species
UGAGGAAUAUUGGUCAAUGGACGAGAGUCUGAACCAGCCAAGUAGCGUGAAGGAUGACUGCCCUAUGGGUUGUAAACUUCUUUUAUAUGGGAAUAAAACAGGGUAUGCAUACCCUCUUGUAUGUACCAUAUGAAUAAGGAUCGGCUAACUCCGUGCCAGCAGCCGCGGUAAUACGGAGGAUCCGAGCGUUAUCCGGAUUUAUUGGGUUUAAAGGGAGCGUAGGUGGAUUGUUAAGUCAGUUGUGAAAGUUUGCGGCUCAACCGUAAAAUUGCAGUUGAAACUGGCAGUCUUGAGUACAGUAGA